rnacentral:rRNA from 1 species
CCUGAGAAACCCAAAAGAUCGAAUGGGGAGAUUCAUCGUCAGCUCAUUUUGUAUAUAUAUAUGUUAUGAUAUAGGUUACUACUUUAUUGUAGUAUUGCUUGUACAUUCUUAUAUAUUUAGUUGCAAGAUGUUGUCGGCGUGCACUUCUUCCCUAGUAGGACGUCGCGACCCGUUGGGUGUUGGUCUACGGCCCAAAUGAUUAGUCUUUAAUAUAUUUAUUAUAUUAAAGUUCAUUGGUGUUUCCUGACCAUCUACUCGGCGGUACACAUACGGUAUUAAGCCGCAAUUAUAUGCGUUCAUUCCCGUCGCAAGCGAGGCAUUCUAAUAGUACGGACCUAGUGCCGUCGUUGGUAUUUGCCAGCUGUUGGUUGUUACGGUGUUCUAGAACUGGCUAAUAAUAAUUACCGGUCGGCGAUGCUACUGCUUUGGGUACUUUCAGGACCCGUCUUGAAACACGGACCAAGGAGUCUAACAUGUGCGCGAGUCAUUGGGAUUUUUUUUUUUAAAAUUAAACCUAAAGGCAUAAUGAAAGUAAAGGUCGUCCUUGUGUCGACUAAGGGAAGAUGAGUUAUGUUAUGAUAUAGCUCCGCAUUCCCGGGGCGUCUCAUUCUUAUUAUAAGAAGAGGCGCACUUAG